rnacentral:rRNA from 1 species
AUUUGUUGGACGCUAGCGGCGGAUGGGUGAGUAACACGUGGGCAAUCUGCCCUAAAGACUGGGAUACCACUUGGAAACAGGUGCUAAUACCGGAUAACAACAUGAAUCGCAUGAUUCAAGUUUGAAAGGCGGCGCAAGCUGUCACUUUAGGAUGAGCCCGCGGCGCAUUAGCUAGUUGGUGGGGUAAAGGCCUACCAAGGCAAUGAUGCGUAGCCGAGUUGAGAGACUGAUCGGCCACAUUGGGACUGAGACACGGCCCAAACUCCUACGGGAGGCAGCAGUAGGGAAUCUUCCACAAUGGACGCAAGUCUGAUGGAGCAACGCCGCGUGAGUGAAGAAGGUCUUCGGAUCGUAAAGCUCUGUUGUUGGUGAAGAAGGAUAGAGGCAGUAACUGGUCUUUAUUUGACGGUAAUCAACCAGAAAGUCACGGCUAACUACGUGCCAGCAGCCGCGGUAAUACGUAGGUGGCAAGCGUUGUCCGGAUUUAUUGGGCGUAAAGCGAGCGCAGGCGGAAUGAUAAGUCUGAUGUGAAAGCCCACGGCUCAACCGUGGAACUGCAUCGGAAACUGUCAUUCUUGAGUGCAGAAGAGGAGAGUGGAACUCCAUGUGUAGCGGUGGAAUGCGUAGAUAUAUGGAAGAACACCAGUGGCGAAGGCGGCUCUCUGGUCUGCAACUGACGCUGAGGCUCGAAAGCAUGGGUAGCGAACAGGAUUAGAUACCCUGGUAGUCCAUGCCGUAAACGAUGAGCGCUAGGUGUUGGGGGACUUUCCGGUCCUCAGUGCCGCAGCAAACGCAUUAAGCGCUC